GAAGUGUUAGUUUCAAUUUAAAACAUCUGUCUGUCAAUCAGAAAAUUCGGGCCAACUCCCCGAACAGUUCUUUUGGGUG
rnacentral:tRNA from 1 species